rnacentral:lncRNA from 1 species
UUGUAUAUUAUUAUCAAGAAAUGAGAAGAUUGAUAGUGUUAUUAGUGUUCUUGUUUUGCUAAAUUUUGUAAAUUGUUAUCAAGAAAUGAGAAGAUUGAUAGUGUUAUUAGUGUUCUUGUUUUGAAAAAUUUUGUAUAUUGUUAUCAAGAAAUGAGAAGAUUGAUAGUGUUAUUAGUGUUCUUGUUUUACUAAAUUUUGUAUAUUGUUAUCAAGAAAUGAGAAGAUUGAUCGUGUUAUUAGUGUUCUUGUUUUGCUAAAUUUUGUAUAUUGUUAUCAAGAAAUGAGAAGAUUGAUA